AGCGAACGCUGGCGGCAGGCCUAAAACAUGCAAGUCGAACGCCCUAGCAAUAGGGAGUGGCGCACGGGUGAGUAACAUGUGGGAAUAUGCCUUUUGGUACGGAACAACGUUUGGAAACGAAUGCUAAUACCGUAUGGUCCCUCCGGGGUAAAGAUUUAUCGCCAAAAGAUUAGCCCGCACUAGAUUAGCUAGUUGGUAAGGUAAUGGCUUACCAAGGCGACGAUCUAUAGCUGUUCUGAGAGGAAGAUCAGCCACACUGGGACUGAGACACGGCCCAGACUCCUACGGGAGGCAGCAGUUAGGAAUAUUGGACAAUGGGCGCAAGCCUGAUCCAGCCAUGCCGCGUGAGUGAUGAAGGCCUUCGGGUUGUAAAGCUCUCUAGCCGACGAAUAUAAUGACUGUAGUCGGAGAAUAAGCCCCGGCUAACUUCGUGCCAGCAGCCGCCGUAACAC
rnacentral:rRNA from 1 species